AAUUUUUGCAAAUGCCGAAACAUCAGUCAGACAUGGAGUGGCGCAGCCAACUGUCCUUUGCAAUUUCACUGCAAUGAACGAAAUUCAAGAUUUGUAAAUAUUAUUUCAGAAAUGUGCUCCAAUUAUUAAUACCCAAUUGAUUAAAAGCAUAUAGUAAAUACGUUUAAAGUCGGAUCAUUUACGAUAAUGUUGCAGAAAAUAAGAAAAUGAGGUUCAUAUAUUGACAACAUGAAAUAAAAAUCAAAAAAGAUUCUUUCAUUAUCGAAAGUUGAUUAAUAGCCGAUGUCACUGACGGUGAGUCUACCAACAACACUCCAAAGCUGUCAUUCUCAGUUCGAGCAACAACAAAACUAUUUCUUCCCGCAACAUUACUACAUAAUACGAGGAACCUUCUACAUACAUACAAAUAUUUAAAUGACACUGUGAUCAUACGCAUAUAGCAUUAUGAAUGCCUUUGUAACCAUAGGUGUGGAUCAUGCUCGAAGCGCACAAUCUCUACAUACUAUGUUGAUUUAUACAUACAUUUGUGCAUUUGUUCCGUGAUUCGGUGGGGAACACCGAUCGUGGCCAAGCCAUAUGUAUCUAUGUGAUUGUACGUACACGCAUGCAGACAAGAUUACGGCACAUGUUCAAAAAGCCAAAUGACAGUCGGAUGCAUUGAAGAGGCAAUAGUGCAAUAGUGAUAUCGCUGGAUAUGCCAGAACCAAAUUAAAUUCAAUUA
rnacentral:lncRNA from 1 species